rnacentral:rRNA from 1 species
GUUCGAUUAUGGCUCAGAUUGAACGCUGGCGGGAUGGCUUUACAUGCAAGUCGAACGGCAGCACGGACUUCGGUCUGGUGGCGAGUGGCGAACAGGUGAGUAAUGUAUCGGAACGUGCCUGGUAGCGGGGGACGCUUCGCGGCGUAGCUAAUACCGCAUACGCCCUUCGGGGGAAAAGCGGGGGACCUUCGGGCCUCGCACUAUUAGAGCGGCCGAUAUCGGAUUAGCUAGUUGGUGGGGUAACAGCCACCAAGGCGACGAUCCGUAGCUGGUUUGAGGACGACCAGCCACACUGGGACUGAGACACGGCCCAGACUCCUACCAGGGAGGCAGCAGUGGGGGAAUUUUGGACAAUGGAAGCCCUGAUCCAGCCAUCCCGCGUGUGCGAUGAAGGCCUUCGGGUUGUAAAGCACUUUUGGCAGGAAAGAAACGGCACGGGAUAAUACCCCGUGCAACUGACGGUACCUGCAGAAUAAGCGCAGCUAACUACGUGCCAGCAGCCGCGGUAAUACGUAAGUGCAAGCGUUAAUCGGAAUUACUGGGCGUAAAGCGUGCGCGACGGUUCAGAGAAGAAAAGAUGUGAAAUCCCAGAGCUUAACUUUGGAACUGCAUUUUUAACUACCGAGCUAGAGUGUGUCAGAGAGGAGGUGGAAUUCCGCGAUGUAGCAGUGAAAUGCGUAGAUAUGCGGAGGAACACCGAUGGCGAAGGCAGCCUCCUGGGAUAACGCGACGCUCAUGCACGAAAGCGUGGGGAGCAAACAGGAUUAGAUACCCUGGUAGUCCACGCCUAAACGAUGUCAACUAGCUGUUGGGGCCUUCGGGCCUUGGUAGCGCAACUAACGCGUGAAGUUGACCGCCUGGGGAGUACGGUCGCAAGAUUAAAACUCAAAGGAAUUGACGGGGACCCGCACAAGCGGUGGAUGAUGUGGAUUAAUUCGAUGCAGCGCGAAAACCUUACCUACGCCAGGCGUAUAUCUGGAAUCCCGAAGAGAUUUGGGAGUGCUCGCAAGAGAACCGGAACACAGGUGCUGCAUGGCUGUCGUCAGCUCGUGUCGUGAGAUGUUGGGUUAAGUCCACAACGAGCGCAACCCUUGUCGAUGAUUGCUACGAAAGGGCACUCUAAUGGAACUGCCGGUGACAAACCGGGAGGAAGGUGGGGAUGACGUCAAGUCCUCAUGGCCCUUAUGGGUGAGGCUUCACGUCAUACAAUGGUCGGGACAGGGUCGCCAACCCGCGAAGGGAGCCAAUCCAGAAACCCGAUCGUAGUCCGGAUCGCAGUCUGCAACUCGACUGCGUGAAGUCGGAAUCGCCUAAGUAAUCGCGGAUCAGCAUGUCGCGGUGAAUACGUUCCCGGGUCUUGUACCGCCCGUCACCUGUGGGGUGGGUUUUACCAGAAGUAGUUAGCCUAACCGUAAGGAGGGCGAUUACACCGAUGGAUUCAUGACUGGUGAAGUCGUAACAGGUAA